rnacentral:tRNA from 1 species
GGGGAUGUAGCUCUGUGGUAGAGCACUUGCCUGACAUGUAUGAGACCCCCUGGAUUCCAUUUCCA